GAUUCGUCACACUAUCAUUAACUGAAUCCAUAGGUUAAUGAGGCGAACCGGGGGAACUGAAACAUCUAAGUACCCCGAGGAAAAGAAAUCAACCGAGAUUCCCCCAGUAGCGGCGAGCGAACGGGGAGGAGCCCAGAGCCUGAAUCAGCAUGUGUGUUAGUGGAAGCGUCUGGAAAGGCGCGCGAUACAGGGUGACAGCCCCGUACACAAAAGCGCAUGUGCUGUGAGCUCGAUGAGUAGGGCGGGACACGUGGUAUCCUGUCUGAAUAUGGGGGGACCAUCCUCCAAGGCUAAAUACUCCUGACUGACCGAUAGUGAACCAGUACCGUGAGGGAAAGGCGAAAAGAACCCCGGCGAGGGGAGUGAAAAAGAACCUGAAACCGUGUACGUACAAGCAGUGGGAGCACCCUUCGGGGUGUGACUGCGUACCUUUUGUAUAAUGGGUCAGCGACUUAUAUUCUGUAGCAAGGUUAACCGUAUAGGGGAGCCGCAGGGAAACCGAGUCUUAAUUGGGCGUUAAGUUGCAGGGUAUAGACCCGAAACCCGGUGAUCUAGCCAUGGGCAGGUUGAAGGUUGGGUAACACUAACUGGAGGACCGAACCGACUAAUGUUGAAAAAUUAGCGGAUGACCUGUGGCUGGGGGUGAAAGGCCAAUCAAACCGGGAGAUAGCUGGUUCUCCCCGAAAGCUAUUUAGGUAGCGCCUCGUGAACUCAUCUCCGGGGGUAGAGCACUGUUUCGGCUAGGGGGCCAUCCCGGCUUACCAACCCGAUGCAAACUGCGAAUACCGGAGAAUGUUAUCACGGGAGACACACGGCGGGUGCUAACGUCCGUCGUGAAGAGGGAAACAACCCAGACCGCCAGCUAAGGUCCCAAAGUCAUGGUUAAGUGGGAAACGAUGUGGGAAGGCCCAGACAGCCAGGAUGUUGGCUUAGAAGCAGCCAUCAUUUAAAGAAAGCGUAAUAGCUCACUGGUCGAGUCGGCCUGCGCGGAAGAUGUAACGGGGCUAAACCAUGCACCGAAGCUGCGGCAGCGACACUGUGUGUUGUUGGGUAGGGGAGCGUUCUGUAAGCCUGUGAAGGUGUGUCGUGAGGCAUGCUGGAGGUAUCAGAAGUGCGAAUGCUGACAUAAGUAACGAUAAAGCGGGUGAAAAGCCCGCUCGCCGGAAGACCAAGGGUUCCUGUCCAACGUUAAUCGGGGCAGGGUGAGUCGACCCCUAAGGCGAGGCCGAAAGGCGUAGUCGAUGGGAAACGGGUUAAUAUUCCCGUACUUGGUGUUACUGCGAAGGGGGGACGGAGAAGGCUAUGUUGGCCGGGCGACGGUUGUCCCGGUUUAAGCGUGUAGGUGUGUGUUCCAGGUAAAUCCGGUUCACUUUAACACUGAGGCGUGACGACGAGGCACUACGGUGCUGAAGCAACAAAUGCCCUGCUUCCAGGAAAAGCCUCUAAGCAUCAGGUAACAUCAAAUCGUACCCCAAACCGACACAGGUGGUCAGGUAGAGAAUACCAAGGCGCUUGAGAGAACUCGGGUGAAGGAACUAGGCAAAAUGGUGCCGUAACUUCGGGAGAAGGCACGCUGACACGUAGGUGAAGUGAUUUACUCAUGGAGCUGAAGUCAGUCGAAGAUACCAGCUGGCUGCAACUGUUUAUUAAAAACACAGCACUGUGCAAACACGAAAGUGGACGUAUACGGUGUGACGCCUGCCCGGUGCCGGAAGGUUAAUUGAUGGGGUCAGCGCAAGCGAAGCUCCUGAUCGAAGCCCCGGUAAACGGCGGCCGUAACUAUAACGGUCCUAAGGUAGCGAAAUUCCUUGUCGGGUAAGUUCCGACCUGCACGAAUGGCGUAAUGAUGGCCAGGCUGUCUCCACCCGAGACUCAGUGAAAUUGAACUCGCUGUGAAGAUGCAGUGUACCCGCGGCAAGACGGAAAGACCCCGUGAACCUUUACUAUAGCUUGACACUGAACAUUGAGCCUUGAUGUGUAGGAUAGGUGGGAGGCUUUGAAGUGUGGACGCCAGUCUGCAUGGAGCCGACCUUGAAAUACCACCCUUUAAUGUUUGAUGUUCUAACGUGGACCCGUGAUCCGGGUUGCGGACAGUGUCUGGUGGGUAGUUUGACUGGGGCGGUCUCCUCCUAAAGAGUAACGGAGGAGCACGAAGGUUGGCUAAUCCUGGUCGGACAUCAGGAGGUUAGUGCAAUGGCAUAAGCCAGCUUGACUGCGAGCGUGACGGCGCGAGCAGGUGCGAAAGCAGGUCAUAGUGAUCCGGUGGUUCUGAAUGGAAGGGCCAUCGCUCAACGGAUAAAAGGUACUCCGGGGAUAACAGGCUGAUACCGCCCAAGAGUUCAUAUCGACGGCGGUGUUUGGCACCUCGAUGUCGGCUCAUCACAUCCUGGGGCUGAAGUAGGUCCCAAGGGUAUGGCUGUUCGCCAUUUAAAGUGGUACGCGAGCUGGGUUUAGAACGUCGUGAGACAGUUCGGUCCCUAUCUGCCGUGGGCGCUGGAGAACUGAGGGGGGCUGCUCCUAGUACGAGAGGACCGGAGUGGACGCAUCACUGGUGUUCGGGUUGUCAUGCCAAUGGCACUGCCCGGUAGCUAAAUGCGGAAGAGAUAAGUGCUGAAAGCAUCUAAGCACGAAACUUGCCCCGA
rnacentral:rRNA from 2 species